rnacentral:piRNA from 1 species
CUGCAGGGCUACACAGCUUCUUAAUGCAGAU